CGAUACCGUAGUAAUGAUGGACGUCAGUUGUCAAUGAGAAUGACUGGCAGUAAUGACGGAUUUGGUAACUCUUCUUAAAAGUCGGGCCCAGCCACUCAUCAUGCAUGACCCCUGGCUGCAUAUUAACAGCUGUGUGCCACGGUGCAGCUGCGGGCCGGCGCCACAGAUGGAGCUGAAUACUGGAUGAGAUGGUGGAGCUGCAUCAUGGAAGCCGCAUGGACGAGAAAGAUCACCAUAAAACCGAAGGUCUCACCAGACAGGAAGCUUCCUCUGCCUCGUCUUCAUCGCCGCCAUCCUCUUCUCCCAUCAGCCACUGGGUGAGAGCGAGGAGCCCGGC